rnacentral:tRNA from 1 species
AGGGUAAUAGUUCAGUGGUAGAGUACAUGCUUAGCUACUCAGCGUGCAUGAGGUCCUGGGUUCAAUCCCCAGUACCUCUA